AGGAAGUUGAAGGAGAGUGUGGAGAAGCAGGGAAUCCAGCAUGGAGUUUGCUCUUGCAGUAGGACUCUGCAGAUCCUUGCAAGACAGGAUUGCAGGAGGCUUGGUUCUCAUCAGGCGUUUUGCCCACAUUUUGUUUACAAUUCUUUUCCCCUCGAAACCAUGGCUGGAUACUGAGCAGAGAUUUUCUUUGAGCUAUCAACAGUGACAAUUGGAUCUUUCUCCUGAGAAAUCACAGCUAAUUUCAAAACCAGCAGCAUGUGAGAGAGGAAUUCAAAGUUUUCUUUUUACUAUGAAUUGUAAGACUCCUUCCCCACGGAUGGUGAAGAAUUGCUUCCAUCGAGGCAGCCAUCACCAGGAGGAAAGUGACCACUGAAGGAUGCAAGUUAACUUCUUGGUCACCACUUGACUCUCUAGUUAUCAAAGGAUGAACAUGCAUAUGAAGAAAAAUAAUAUUAAUGGGUACAGGCUGAGUGGAUAAUUGCAGACAUUGGCGAAAAACGAAUAUGCAACUGAUGCAGCCGCUUGCCGCACAGCAAUUACUUCAAAGUGUUGCUUUACUUAAUUUUUUUUUUUUUGGUAAAAGAAAUACUACAUAAUUUAUAUCUGAGAAUAUCAUUAAAAUAUUAGAAUGUUCCCCAUUGUGUAGCAAGUAGAAACUUGGUUACCCAGUAUACAAACAACAAUAAUAAAUAAAAAUCACAUGCUGGGGGAAAAAUA